ACAGGCUUAACACAUGCAAGUCGAGGGGUAGCAGGGUAGCAAUACCGCUGACGACCGGCGCACGGGCGAGUAACACGUAUCCAACCUUCCCAUAACUCGGGGAUAGCCUUUCGAAAGAAAGAUUAAUACCCGAUAGUACUUUUUUAGGGCAUCUUAGAAAAGUUAAAGAUUUAUUGGUUAUGGAUGGGGAUGCGUUCCAUUAGAUAGUUGGUGAGGUAACGGCUCACCAAGUCUUCGAUGGAUAGGGGUUCUGAGAGGAAGGUCCCCCACAUUGGUACUGAGACACGGACCAAACUCCUACGGGAGGCAGCAGUGAGGAAUAUUGGUCAAUGGGCGAGAGCCUGAACCAGCCAAGUAGCGUGAAGGAUGACGG
rnacentral:rRNA from 1 species